rfam:Lysinibacillus manganicus DSM 26584 contig1, whole genome shotgun sequence.
UUCACCUUUAAAGGCAGUCCAGAGAGGCUGAAAAGGUAUUUGUGAAAUGUUUGAAAAGCUCGCAUGAAAACUCACUAUUUAUGUAUACUUGUACAUAAAUAUGGAUAAGCAGCUUAUUUAAACAUGCCCAUAAACACAACUAUCAACCUCUUAAGCGAAUGCUUAAGAGGUUUUUUUAC